GGAGUUGUGCCUGAAGCAAAGGGCCACUUUGAUAGAGUGAAACAUGAAGGUUAAAAUCCUUCCAACUCCU
rnacentral:tRNA from 1 species